GCCGUGGUAGCUCAGUGGUUAAAGCGAUCGACUGCUAAUCGAAAGGCUGGCGGUUCAAAACCAUCAGCAGCU
rnacentral:tRNA from 1 species